GAGUUUGAUCCUGGCUCAGAAUGAACGUUGGCGGCGUGGAUUAGGCAUGCAAGUCGAGCGGGCCAGCAAUGGCCAGCGGCGAAAGGGACAGUAACACGUAGAUCACCUACCCUCAGGGCCGGGAUAGCCACGGGAAACUGUGGAUAAUACCGGAUAAUGUCUUCGGACCAAAGGUGUGAUUCCACCUGAGGAUGGGUCUGCGUCCUAUUAGCUUGUUGGUGAGGUAACGGCUCACCAAGGCGAUGAUGGGUAGUGGGUGUGAGAGCACGACCCGCGUCACUGGGACUGAGAUACUGCCCAGACACCUACGGGUGGCUGCAGUCGAGGAUCUUCGGCAAUGGGCGCAAGCCUGACCGAGCGACGCCGCGUGCGGGAUGGAGGCCUUCGGGUUGUAAACCGCUGUCGGAGGGGAUGAAAUGCAUGGGGGUUCUCCCCCAUGCUUGACAUAUCCUCGGAGGAAGUACGGGCUAAGUUCGUGCCAGCAGCCGCGGUAAGACGAACCGUACAAACGUUAUUCGGAAUCACUGGGCUUAAAGGGUGCGUAGGCGGCGCGGAAAGUUGGGUGUGAAAUCCCUCGGCUCAACCGAGGAACUGCGCCCAAAACUACCGUGCUUGAGGGAGAUAGAGGUGAGCGGAACUUAGGGUGGAGCGGUGAAAUGCGUUGAUAUCCUAAGGAACACCAGUGGCGAAAGCGGCUCACUGGGUCUCUUCUGACGCUGAUGCACGAAAGCUAGGGUAGCGAACGGGAUUAGAUACCCCGGUAGUCCUAGCCGUAAACGAUGAGCACUGGGUUGAAGGGCCCUCCAUAGCCCUUCAGCCGAAGCGAAAGUGUAAGUGCUCCGCCUGGGA
rnacentral:rRNA from 1 species